GCUUAGCCCUAAACAUCGAUUUAAUUGCCCUAUUAAAUCCGCCCGGGAAUUACGAACAUAAGUUUAAAACCCCAAGGACUUGGCGGUGCUUUAUAUCCACCUAGAGGAGCCUGUUCUAGAACCGAUAACCCCCGUUAAACCUCACCCUCUCUUGUUAUAUCCGCCUAUAUACCGCCGUCGUCAGCUUACCCUGUGAAGGAACAACAGUAAGCGAGAUUGGUACAACCCAAAACGUCAGGUCGAGGUGUAGUGUAUGAGUGGGGAAGAAAUGGGCUACAUUUGCUAGUUAUAGCAAAUACGAACGAUGCAUUGAAAUAUGCAACUGAAGGAGGAUUUAGUAGUAAGCUAAAAAUAGAGUGUUUAGCUGAAAUUGGCCCUAAAGCGCGC
rnacentral:rRNA from 1 species